GAUGAACGCUGGCGGCGUGCCUAAUACAUGCAAGUCGAGCGAACAGACGAGGAGCUUGCUCCUCUGACGUUAGCGGCGGACGGGUGAGUAACACGUGGAUAACCUACCUAUAAGACUGGGAUAACUUCGGGAAACCGGAGCUAAUACCGGAUAAUAUAUUGAACCGCAUGGUUCAAUAGUGAAAGACGGUUUUGCUGUCACUUAUAGAUGGAUCCGCGCCGCAUUAGCUAGUUGGUAAGGUAACGGCUUACCAAGGCAACGAUGGGUAGCCGACCUGAGAGGUGGAUCGACAACACGGAAGCGAGGAAAGGGCCAGACUCCUACGGGAGGAAGCAGUAGGGAAUCUUCCGCAAUGGGCGAAAGCCUGACGGAGCAACGCCGCGUGAGUGAUGAAGGUCCUAGGAUCGUAAAACUCUGUUAUUAGGGAAGAACAAAUGUGUAAGUAACUAUGCACGUCUUGACGGUACCUAAUCAGAAAGCCACGGCUAACUACGUG
rnacentral:rRNA from 1 species